ACUCCUACGGGAGGCAGCAGUAGGGAAUCUUCCACAAUGGGCGCAAGCCUGAUGGAGCAACACCGCGUGAAUGAAGAAGGUCUUCGGAUCGUAAAAUUCUGUUGUUAGAGAAGAAUAUGAGUAAUAGUAACUGAUUAUUCACUGACGGUAUCUAACCAGCAAGUCACGACUAACUACGUACCAGCAGCCGCGGUAAU
rnacentral:rRNA from 1 species